rnacentral:lncRNA from 1 species
ACCCUUGCCUCACAACGAUCGGGUGAGAUAUCAGCCACUGGACCUAUAUCCUGCUCCACUCUACACAGAUGUUAAAAGUGUUAACCGAACGACGCAGGGUUCUCAGUUCCUAGCAUGUUGUCUUUGAUCCUAGUUUGGCUGCCCUCUAUCUGAGUCCAAGCUAGACAUUGAUUCGGGCUCCUGGGAGAAGAAAGAAACCCGGCUGUUGACACCAAUGCUCUGGUUCUUAGAUGCUGAAGCUAUUGAAUAUUGUCAGCUGACUCUUGAGUAUAAGGGUGAAAUGCAGCAGGAUUGUAUCUUGAGAUGAGGCUUAGGAAUGUGCUUUACAACAGUUUUGUUGGCAUAUUUAUUACUAUUUUGAUGUUUCUGUACAAUGAAAUUGAAGUUAUAAGAAAGGUCGAUCUGUCUUCGUGUACAGAGAAAUUUGUAAUGAAAAUAAUUUUUC